rnacentral:rRNA from 1 species
ACGAAGGGGGCUAGCGUUGUUCGGAUUUACUGGGCGUAAAGCGCACGUAGGCGGAUAUUUAAGUCAGUGGUGAAAUCCCGGGGCUCAACCCCGGAACUGCCUCUGAUACUGGGUAUCUUGAGUCCGGAAGAGGUGAGUGGAAUUCCGAGUGUAGAGGUGAAAUUCGUAGAUAUUCGGAGGAACACCAGUGGCGAAGGCGGCUCACUGGUCCGGUACUGACGCUGAGGUGCGAAAGCGUGGGGAGCAAACAG